CGGGACGGGUGAGUAAUGUCUGGGAAACUGCCUGAUGGAGGGGGAUAACUACUGGAAACGGUAGCUAAUACCGCAUAACGUCGCAAGACCAAAGAGGGGACCUUCGGGCCUCUUGCCAUCGGAUGUGCCCAGAUGGGAUUAGCUAGUAGGUGGGGUAACGGCUCACCUAGGCGACGAUCCCUAGCUGGUCUGAGAGGAUGACCAUCCACACUGGAACUGAGACACGGUCCAG
rnacentral:rRNA from 1 species